rnacentral:rRNA from 1 species
GACGAACGCUGGCGGCGUGCUUAACACAUGCAAGUCGAACGAAGAGCGAUGGAAGCUUGCUUCUAUCAAUCUUAGUGGCGAACGGGUGAGUAACGCGUAAUCAACCUGCCCUUCAGAGGGGGACAACAGUUGGAAACGACUGCUAAUACCGCAUACGAUCUGACCUCGGCAUCGAGGAUAGAUGAAAGGUGGCCUCUAUUUAUAAGCUAUCACUGAAGGAGGGGAUUGCGUCUGAUUAGCUAGUUGGAGGGGUAACGGCCCACCAAGGCGAUGAUCAGUAGCCGGUCUGAGAGGAUGAACGGCCACAUUGGGACUGAGACACGGCCCAGACUCCUACGGGAGGCAGCAGUGGGGAAUCGUCCGCAAUGGACGAAAGUCUGACGGAGCAACGCCGCGUGAGUGAUGACGGCCGUCGGGUUGUAAAGCUCUGUUAAUCGGGACGAAAGGCCUUCUUGCGAAUAGUUAGAAGGAUUGACGGUACCGGAAUAGAAAGCCACGGCUAACUACGUG